GAUGUUGCGGAGUUACAUUUAUGCGUUGUGGCAGGCGACAACUGGUCGUAAUUGGAGCACUUUGAUUAGAUUUUUUUUUCUCUCUCUCUCUCUGUAAAGAUCUCUGCCGUCUCGUAGCCCCGAGAGCAGAGAGCCGUUGCAACACAUAAAUACACAAAAAAAGAGAAGCAAAACUGGGGACAGCGUCGGAAAGAACUACUACUCAGGGAUGGAUGGGAGCUGCAGUCAAACCCCGUAACAACCUCCCCCCCCCCCCCACCCCCUCUCCACUCCCCACUCCACCUGCCAAAAAUAAAACACAGAAAGCAACCUCGGGAACGGAGGUUGAGAAACAUAUCGAUGGAGCAUCUCGACCCGGGAGGAGAUGGUCUUUGAAGCUCUAGUGGAAAAAUAAAGGGACGUAUGAGAUGACCAAUGUGGGAAUCACAUCGCCCCGGAUGUCUCUGGAUCGUUGCGAAAUAAGACGACUUUGACAAUAGGCGGCUCAGAAUUGCACGACUAUAUGUCGCGAGAAUGAGUGAAAGGCGCCGACAUUGUGCUUUGGGAACCUAACUGCUGGGCAUCUUUUCGACUCAAUGGUCAGGGGAAUAUUUGCUUUUGAGAAUGAAAAGUCGAAAAUCGAAGAUACCUACGAGCUACGCGGUAUUCUGCAAAUGCUGCAACAGACAGUACUUUUCCCACUUCUUCUACAUCGGUUUCUGAUUCUUCAAUUCAUAUUGAUAUGGUUAAAUCAGCCAAGCACCUUCUUGCAUUGAGGAAUCGGACUGAAGAUCAGUCACCCAUCAUUAUUCAACCUAAUGUGUAGACCCCAAGGAAUGAGUGCAUCAUCAAGGGAUCAGUGGAAAUAAACAAAUACACGUGUGUAUGUCUAAUCUCUAUCAGAGACUAUUUACAUUAACCGUACACACCCCUUCCAAUUUGGAAUAAAAAGCAUCCUAAGGAAGUGCACACAUUUAAUCAGAUUUGUUAAUAGUCAAUUCCAGGACCUAGGGUAAGACAAAAAGAAAGGCAUGAAGAUUAAACUAUGUUCAGUU